ACUUCUAUGCAUGUUGUUUCAGGCAAGACAUUGUUACAGAUCCAUCAAAAAUUAAAUUACUACUCCCUCCAUCCACAUAUAUAGGGCCUAAUACGUUUUUCAGGUUACAUUUGACAACAGGUUAGCACAAUAACAUAUGACAUGCAUGUUACACAAAGCAUACCAUUGAAUUCGUAUAUGAAAGGAGUUUCUAAUGAUAUAAUUUUUAUAUCAUACAUCUCAUAUACUAAUAAUUUUAUUAUUGGUCAAAGGCUACCUCGAAAAAUGUAUUUGACUCUAUAUCUGGAUGGAGGGAGUACCAUUUGUUCUACACAUGUUCCCUAUGAAAUGGCCUUUGGUUGUACGUGGCUUGGGCAAAAUUUUGAUUUCCUAAUUGUCCAUAUGAAUGUUUAUGGCUCCUGUAGUUCUUUAUACACAAGCGUCAGCUGCUGAUAUGGUUGAUGGAAGUAUGAGGUAUGUUCUCCACAUUUUCAAAGAUAGAAAAGUUCUAUGGGUAGCUAGAGCGAUGUCUUUUUUAUUUACAAUAUCUAUACUGCUGAAUAAUGACUUGUGGCUGUAUGUCCUUGUAUAUUUGGUGCAUUUACCUACGAUUGGUAAUGAUAUUAAGUAUUCCUUAAUUAAUCUCAGAUAUACCUUUGCAGACUAUGCUUUAUGAUCCAAUGGGAGAUUUGACAAAGCAAGAUAUUUUUCAACAGAUAUGUUUCUUCAUCAGUUGUGAAAAGUACAAUAUUUAACACAUGUUUUUUUAGUUGUGUUUUCAACCAACAAAUGUAUCCACGAGCAAUUUUUAUUCCAAAAACUACUGCACUUUCCGGUGAAAAAAGAACAAUUGGACUAGAUGGACAACAAUGGGCGUAGGCCAUCCAAUAGAUGUGAUUUCCUGUUCGCUUUUGUCAAAUAUCUUCAUAAUUGUACAGUCACUCACGUUAUUAAUAUCCGGAUCUUCGGAGAGGCUAUGUUUGUGAGCAGGUUUAAUCCCAAUCUGCUAUUUAGUAGGUCGCCAUUCAUUGGUCCAUCUUUUGCUAAUCGAUUCAGACAAAGUUCAUUUUUGCUUGAAUUUAUACUGUGA
rnacentral:lncRNA from 1 species